rnacentral:rRNA from 1 species
GUUUUUGUUUGGAGAGUUUGAUCCUGGCUCAGGACGAACGCUGGCGGCGUGCUUAACACAUGCAAGUCGAACGGACCUUCGGGUUAGUGGCGAACGGGUGAGUAACACGUGGGUGAUCUGCCCUGCACUUUGGGAUAAGCCUGGGAAACUGGGUCUAAUACCGGAUAGGACUACGCACUGCAUGGUGUGUGGUGGAAAGCUUUUGCGGUGUGGGAUGGGCCCGCGGCCUAUCAGCUUGUUGGUGGGGUGAUGGCCUACCAAGGCGACGACGGGUAGCCGGCCUGAGAGGGUGACCGGC